CCGGGAGAUGGAGCCGGCAGCUGGCAGCCAGCGGGACCGCGGCACUGCCCGGCCACCCCACAGCCCUGGGGGUCCCCUGCGCGGCCCCCCAAAUCCUCCCGCUCCACUUCGCCCUGUGCCAGACCUUCACGUUUAGGGGGAGGCAAAAACCCCCGGGAUUUACCCCAUUUCUGUGGAUGGAUGUAGGUCCUGCCCCAUGGUGGGGAUUUGGGGGCGGAUCCCCCGUGGUUCAGCAUUAGUGGGGUGGGGGGUGUUUUGUGCCCAAACCCGGGGGUGCCGGAGCGGGUGGACCCCAAAUGAAGAGAGUUGUGCCCGUUCUCAGCCUGCCGGGGGUGCCCAGCUGUGGGAGGAGACCCCGGCCCCGCUGCGCCCAAGCCCACCCAGCUGCUCCCCAUGGAGGGGGAGAGCUGCCAGCAUGGGGGGCACACAGAGCCCCUCCGUGUGUGCCAGUCUGAGGGGCUGCCCCUGUAAUGGUGAUCCACGCUGACCCUACAGGGGUGCCCCACCAGUCCUAUAGUGGAGGGUCCAUGACCCACCAGCCCUAUAACGAGGUUUUGUGCCCCACUGACCCUAUAGCAGGGGUUUCUGUGCCCACCAGCCCUAUAGCGGCACGUCUGUACCCCACUGACCCUAUAGUGGGGGUUCUGUGCCCACCAGCCCUAUAACUGGGGGCCCCACUGGCCCUAUAGCAGGGGGUCUGUACCUACUGAUCCUAUAGCAGGGGGUCUGUGCCCCACCGACUCUAUAGGGGUGUUCUAUGCCCACCGGCCCUAUAGUGGGGGGGGUCUAUGUCCUGCUGGCCCUACGAUGGGGGGGUCUGUGCCCCACCGGCCCUAUAGGCGAGUUCUGGACCCCACCAGAGGGGCGCCCCCGCCCCACUGACCGCUCCCCUCUGUGCCGGCAGGUGCGGGAGAUCCUGGGCUGCUGCUCCUGCCCCUCGCAGUUCCCCAUGGUCAAGGUCUCGGAGGGGAAGUACAAAGUGGGCGACUCCAACACGCUCAUCUUCGUCCGACUCACCGCCUGCCCCAGCCCCGCACCCCGGGCGUGUCCCCCCAAAAG
rnacentral:lncRNA from 1 species